GUAGGGAAUAUUGCGCAAUGGACGAAAGUCUGACGCGGCGACGCCGCGUGAGUGAUGAAGGCCUUAGGGUCGUAAAGCUCUGUUGAAUGGGAAGAAAAAAAUGACGGUACCAUUCGAGGAAGGACCGGCUAACUUCGUGCCAGCAGCCGCGGUAAUACGAGGGGUCCUAGCGUUGUUCGGAAUCAUUGGGCGUAAAGGGUGUGUAGGUGGCCAUGUAAGUCAGGUGUGAAAGCCCCGGGCUCAACCCGGGAAGUGCACUUGAUACUGCGUGGCUUGAGUACCGAAGAGGGUAGUGGAAUUCCAGGUGUAGUGGUGAAAUACGUAGAUAUCUGGAGGAACACCGGUGGCGAAGGCGGCUACCUGGUCGAGUACUGACACUGAGACACGAAAGCAUGGGGAUCAAACAGGAUUAGAUACCCCGGUAGUCC
rnacentral:rRNA from 1 species